AGAGUUUGAUCAUGGCUCAGGACGAACGCUGGCGGCGCGCCUAACACAUGCAAGUCGAACGGAGCAUUGAGAGCUUGCUUUUAAUGCUUAGUGGCGAACGGGUGAGUAACGCGUGAGUAACCUGCCCUGGAGUGGGGGACAACAGUUGGAAACGACUGCUAAUACCGCAUAAGCCCACGAUCCGGCAUCGGAUUGAGGGAAAAGGAUUUAUUCGCUUCAGGAUGGACUCGCGUCCAAUUAGCUAGUUGGUGAGGUAACGGCCCACCAAGGCGACGAUUGGUAGCCGGACUGAGAGGUUGAACGGCCACAUUGGGACUGAGACACGGCCCAGACUCCUACGGGAGGCA
rnacentral:rRNA from 1 species